GGGAGGGAGGGGCGGGGGGCGCAGCAGGUGAGCGAAGCUGCGAGGAUGGAGCCCGCCGCGUCAGGGAGAGGAGGAGAGAAGGAGGGAUAUUAGCGGCGACAGGGGGAAGGGGGAGGAGGCGGCCGCCCGGUCUGGCCCGCCGCAGGGAGGGACCGCGGGAGAAGGCAUCGGACCCGGAUCCAGGCGCGGGAGGAUGGGCAACGCCGACUCGAAGCUCAACUUCAGGAAGGCGGUGAUCCAGCUCACGACUAAGACCCAGCCUGUAGAAGCAACAGAUGAUGUCUUCUGGGACCAAUUCUGGGCAGAUACAGCUACUUCAGUCCAAGAUGUCUUUGCCCUAGUUCCAGCUGCAGAAAUCAGAGCUGUGAGGGAAGAAUCUCCUUCAAAUUUGGCUACUUUGUGUUACAAGGCAGUGGAGAAGUUGGUGCAGGGAGCUGAGAGUGGCUGUCACUCUGAGAAGGAAAAACAGAUUGUGCUGAAUUGCAGCCGCCUCUUGACUCGCAUCCUACCCUACAUCUUUGAGGAUCCUGACUGGAGAGGCUUCUUCUGGUCAACUGUCCCUGGGGCGGGGCGAGGAGGGGUUGAUGAAGAUGAUGAAAAUGCUCGGCCUCUUGCUGAAUCAUUGCUUCUGGCCAUUGCAGAUUUGCUCUUCUGUCCAGAAUUCACUGUCCACAGCCAUCGAAAAAAUAAUGUGGAUACGGCGGAAGAUAUUCAUGCCAUCGAUAGCUGUGAAUACAUCUGGGAGGCUGGCGUUGGGUUUGCUCAUUCCCCACCACCCAACUAUAACCAUGACUUAAACAGAACAGAGCUAUUAAAGCUCCUACUGACCUGUUUCUCUGAGGUCAUGUACCUGCCCCCCUCCUCAGACAGCAGCAACACUAAUCCCUGGGUCCAGUUCUUCUGUUCAACUGAGAACAGGCAUGCGCUACCACUUUUCACUUCCCUCUUGAAUAUCGUCUGUGCUUAUGAUCCAGUGGGCUACGGGAUCCCUUAUAACCACUUGCUGUUCUCGGACUAUCGUGAACCCCUGGUGGAGCAGGCUGCCCAAGUCCUGAUAGUCACAUUGGACUAUGACACUUCCACUAGCUCCAGUCCCACAGUAGAUGGCACUACUACUGGAACAGUCAUGGAUGAUGCUGAUCCUCCGGGACCAGACAACCUGUUUGUGAACUACCUGUCUAGGAUACACAGAGAAGAGGAUUUCCAGUUCAUUCUGAAAGGAGUGGCCCGUUUACUUUCCAACCCACUGGUCCAAACCUACCUGCCAAAUUCUACGAAAAAGAUCCAGUUUCAUCAGGAGCUCCUAGUUCUCUUCUGGAAACUCUGUGAUUUCAACAAGAAAUUUCUCUUCUUUGUGCUGAAGAGCAGUGAUGUCCUGGACAUUCUGGUGCCAAUUCUCUAUUUCCUCAAUGAUGCCAGAGCAGAUCAGUCUCGAGUUGGACUUAUGCAUAUUGGUGUCUUCAUCUUGUUGCUGCUGAGUGGGGAGCGAAAUUUUGGGGUUCGCCUGAAUAAGCCUUAUGCUGUGCGAGUACCAAUGGAUAUCCCAGUAUUCACAGGGACACAUGCAGAUCUUCUCAUCAUUGUCUUUCACAAGAUCAUCACCAGUGGUCACCAGCGGCUGCAGCCUCUUUUUGACUGCCUCCUUACCAUCAUUGUGAAUGUAUCUCCAUAUCUGAAGUCUCUUUCAAUGGUAGCUGCUAAUAAACUGCUGCACCUGCUGGAAGCCUUCUCAACCACCUGGUUCCUCUUCUCCACAGUCCAGAAUCACCAUCUUGUCUUCUUUUUAUUGGAGGUUUUCAACAAUAUCAUCCAGUAUCAGUUUGAUGGCAAUUCCAACUUAGUCUAUGCUAUUAUCCGCAAGCGAAACGUGUUCCACCAGCUGGCCAAUCUGCCUACUGACUCACAAUCCAUUCAGAAAGCUUUGCAGCGCAAAAAGAAAGCUCCUGAACCCAUAUCUCGCACAAACUCUCAAGAAGCGAUGUCCAUGGAAGGGUCACGACCAGCUGCACCUGCUGAGCCUGGAACACUGAAGGCCAGCCUAGUAGCAACUCCAGGCAUUGACAAACUCACAGAGAAAGCCCAGGUGUCAGAGGAUGGGACAAUGCGCUCUCUAGAGCCAGAGUCUUCACAGACUCCAGCAGAAGGCAGCCCCCCUGGCAUUGUCAGUGACACAGAGUCUUGGAGUGGGGAAUCAUUGCCACCCAAGCGGGAUCGACGGCGUCUGUCCAGUGCAUCCUCAAGUGGGCAGUGGAACCCAACUCCUGAAUGGGUGGUAUCCUGGAAAUCAAAGCUACCCCUGCAAACAAUCAUGCGGCUGUUACAGGUCUUAGUCCCCCAGGUAGAGAAGAUUUGCAUUGACAAGGGCCUCACCGAUGAGUCUGAGAUUCUGAAGUUUCUGCAGCACGGCACAUUGGUGGGGCUACUCCCUGUCCCUCAUCCCAUCUUGAUUCGCAAAUACCAGGCUAACUCCGGUACUGCUAUGUGGUUCCGCACCUACAUGUGGGGAGUUAUUUAUUUGAGGCAGUGCCUAGUGUAUCAUGAAGAGUGACCAGACUUUACUUGCCAGCUGAGGCUAACAAACAUUUGGGGUUGAAAUGAAAUGAGCUUAGAAAUAAAGACAAUUUAGAAGACCAACAGCAAUGGAAAAGGAAUGUGGAUCCUCCGAUCUGGUAUGACACAGAUGUUAAGCUGUUUGAAAUUCAGCGGGUCUGAGGAAUGGGAAGAGAGAAGGAACUCGCUUGUUAGAGCAAAACGCUGGACACCAGGAUCUUGCUAUGCGCUUCUUCAUAACAGCUCUUCCUUCAUUUCACUGCCUGCUGAGUGAUCCAAAGGACUGUCACUUCCAUUUCUUGAGCUACCACUUUAAAGCUCAGAGACACCCCACCCCACCCAUUCCCCCACCACCACUUCCCAAGGUUCCAAUCUUGAUGGAAGGCUGCAAAAGGAAAGGCAGCCUUGAUGGUUACACUUGAAACCAAACCAUAUCUCCUCACAAGAGAUCUCCCUUGUGCAUAUCCUCCUGGGUGCAAUUCUGAACCUGUCUAGGUAGAGACGUAAUCUCUUCACUUCCUAGUCAGGUUCAGCCUUUAGAUUAAAAGACACUGAAUGUAAAGAGUUGCAAAACUGGACCAAUGAAGGAAGUCCUACUGCAAGAGGUAGCUCAGUAGUUCUUUUUCCAAAGAAUGUAUCCAAAUUGUACAUCUUUCAUGUUAUAGCCUCCCCCCCCCCCACCCCCUGCUGCUAUUCUACAUUACUGUACCUAGCCAGGAUGGGAUAGUAGCUGCACUUACUAGAUAACACUGGAAUUCUAUUUAUUUUAAGCUAAUUCAGGGUUUAAGCUGGUCUUCUGGGUUUGAUCCUCUUCUCUCUGCCACUGGACAUGUGCUUAACUACUUUGUACCUGGUGCUAUAAUGUAGCAUCCAGAUUCCUUUCCCUUGUCUUCCCUCGGAGAUGGUCCCUUUUAAAGGUGGAUGUCCAUCUAAGAUGCACUGCAUCCUUUUUCAUCUAGGCUUUAAUGCAAAACUGGAGAGGGAGAAAUUGCUCCCCUGGAAAGCACACAUGAAUUUAGCUUCUCUCUGUGAGAAGCAGUCUGUUUCCCUUGCCCUGUCUAGUUCCUUUCAGCUUGGUUAGACAGACAUACUAGCCUGGGAAAGAACUGUUGCUGGAAAAGCUGGGUUGGGCUGUUGGGCCCACAUUACUUUUCAGGGAUUUAUGGAGAUCCUUUUGUUGCAAACAUGACAAAUGCAGGAGACAAGCCUGCUGGAAUGGAGCUGAAUUCUUUGGGAGCUUGCAUUGUGCAGUUCCUAGACUAGAUUCAUUUAAGCUAGACUGGCGGAAAUGUGCAUUUCUGUCUAGCUAAGUUCAUGAGGGAUUGGCAAAGGCUGACCUCCAGGUCAUCGUAUUGUUUCUCAUGAUACAAACCAACAUCUUCUGACUUGUUUGGAAGGAUCUCCACUCAUGGUUUAUGGUCUACUGUUUGGAAUCACAGUUGUAUAAAGCUGUUCUCGCUCACCACAGAAGACGACAAGUAUGUUCUAUAAUUGCUCUUUACUGACCUGCAGCCAGCCCUGAGCUUGAACUAGAAGUUCUCAGAUUUGGGUGGCCAUUUUGCUGUACUCUCCCCUCCUCACACAUCCCCCCCCCCCACAGGGGCUGUAUUUUCAAAUUUGAAAUCUAGCUAAACAUUGCCACCUCAUGCUAUAGAAAAGGGUGAGUAGGUAUGUCAACCUUGUGUAUCAAUGUCAUUUGCUCAUUUUGUUCAAGAACAGAAUUAACUAAGAUCUAGGUUUCUUAGGUUAUUCAACACAGACAGAUUAUAGCUAGUGGCUUAGAUCUGGACUAUCAAACCAGGCAUGUAGGCAUGCAUGCCUACUUUGGAGGAUCAGAAUUAAUUGCAUGUUUCCCUCUGUGCAGUGGGCAUGGUGAAUUUCAGGGAUCCUACUUUCCCCUCAGAUCACCCUGUAACUGGUGAAAAUAUGUUCCUGAGGGCCAUGCAGCCCUCGGGUACAUACUCUUGUGUGUCACAGAAUGCUUCUGGGAGGAGGAGUGAUGGGUGACAUUAAACUCCCUCAUAGCUCCACCUCCUGGAAGUGCUCUGUGAUACAUGGAAGUACGUCCCUGCGGCCUGCACAACCCUGAAGGACAUAUUUCUACCAGUUACAAGGCAAUCUGAGGGCAAGGUAGGAACCCUGAAACUCUCCCUCCCUGCUGCACAUCAGCAGCCUUAGUGGGGAAGGUUGCUGAAGCAGCCACACAGUUCCCUGUUCUGCUUUGAAAGUCCAGAUAUGAGCCACUAUGUAGGUCUUAUUCUAGAUAUUUUGAAAGUCAGAUAAUUUCCCUCCUACUUGCGCUUUUAACUCCCUGAAUGUUGUUUCAUGUCACCCUUUUGUCACUGACCAAACUCUUAUCUGCUCACUUCACCCUUCCACCGCCACUGGCAGAUUGAAUAUUUUUUGGGUCUCAAAUGUGGUUUGGAACGGCUAGCUGAUUGUCUCACGUUCAAGUCUCAUGUCAAAGGGAAAAUUCUCUCUAUCAGACACCGGUCUAUCUCUUCCCUCUAUAUAUACACACACACUUGGUGGUCUUCAAUCUCUUUAGUUAGUAUUAAUAUGUUCUUGUGAAUUUAUCUGGACUUUUGCAUUUUUUGGUGUUGCGAGUCUGAUCUUUGUUCCAUGAAGAAUCAAAAUUGCACUGUAAACUAUUUGCUUACAUUAUAGAGAUAAAAUUAUCUUAAACACUGCCUGGCUUUACUCUGUAUCACAAGAGGUUUAUGAGCUUGUUUGUGUUACUGUUUGAUUUACGAUGAUCUGUCAUCCUUUGCAACAUGUACCUUUCCAUUAAAGGCAUGGCUGCACAGGA